rnacentral:rRNA from 1 species
AUUGCCCUUAGCUAACGGCGAGUGAGCGGCAAAAGCUCAAAUUUGAAAUCUGGCACCUUCGGUGUCCGAGUUGUAAUUUGAAGAAGGUAACUUUUCCUCCGGUUCUUGAUAAUGUUCCUUGGAACAGGACGUCACAGAGGGUGAGAAUCCCGUGCGAUGAGAUGCCCAAUUCUAUGUAAAGUGCUUUCGAAGAGUCGAGUUGUUUGGGAGUGCAGCUCUAAGUGGGUGGUAAAUUCCAUCUAAAGCUAAAUAUUGGCGAGAGACCGAUAGCGAACAAGUACAGUGAUGGAAAGAUGAAAAGAACUUUGAAAAGAGAGUGAAAAAGUACGUGAAAUUGUUGAAAGGGAAGGGCUUGAGAUCAGACUUGGUAUUUUGCGAUCCUUUCCUUCUUGGUUGGGUUCCUCGCAGCUUACUGGGCCAGCAUCGGUUUGGAUGGCAGGAUAAUGACUAAGGAAUGUGGCUCUACUUCGGUGGAGUGUUAUAGUCUCGGUUCAUUUAGAGGAAGUAAGCCGUCUUGAAACACGGACCA